GACGAACGCUGGCGGCGUGCUUAACACAUGCAAGUCGAACGGAAAGGCCCUGCUUUUGUGGGGUGCUCGAGUGGCGAACGGGUGAGUAACACGUGAGUAACCUGCCCUUGACUUUGGGAUAACUUCAGGAAACUGGGGCUAAUACCGGAUAGGAGCUCCUGCUGCAUGGUGGUGGUUGGAAAGUUUCGGCGGUUGGGGAUGGACUGGCGGGUUAUCAGCUUGUUGGUGGGGUAGUGGCUUACCAAGGGUUUGACGGGUAGCCGGCCUGGGAGGGGGACCGGCCACAAUGGGACUGAGAUACGGACCAGACUCCUACGGGAGGCAGCAGUGGGGAAUAUUGCACAGUGGGCGGAAGCCUGAUGCAGCAACGCCGCGUGCGGGAUGACGGCCUUCGGGUUGUAAACCGCUUUCGCCUGUGACGAAGCGUGAGUGACGGUAAUGGGUAAAGAAGCACCGGCUAACUACGUG
rnacentral:rRNA from 1 species